GACGAACGCUGGCGGCGUGCUUAACACAUGCAAGUCGAACGGAAAGGCCUGCUUUCCCUUGUGGAUUGCGGGUACUCGAGUGGCGAACGGGUGAGUAACACGUGAGUGAUCUGCCCCCAACUUGGGUAUAAGCCUGGGAAACUGGGUCUAAUUCCCGAUAGGACUGCAGGGUGGUGCCUGUGGUGGAAAACGAUUUUCUAGUGGUUGGGGAUGAGCUCGCGGCCUAUCAGCUUGUUGGUGGGGUAAUGGCCUACCAAGGCGGCGACGGGUAGCCGGCCUGAGAGGGUGGACGGCCCCAUUGGGACUGAGAUACGGCCCAGACUCCGACGGGAGGCAGCAGUGGGGAAUAUUGCACAAUGGGCGGAAGCCUGAUGCAGCGACGCCGCGUGGGGGAUGACGGCCUUCGGGUUGUAAACUCCUUUCGACCGCGAGGAAGCCACCUGGUUGGAAGGGUGGUGACGGUAGUGGUAGAAGAAGCACCGGCUAACUACGUG
rnacentral:rRNA from 1 species